UGAUAAGCAAGCCAUUGAUCGAGUGCAAUAUUGGAACUACUUUUUCAAUAUGCUAUAUGUCACCCACAUACAUAAUCAAGAAGUUAGUAGAACUUCUACUUACCUUCUUGCACACACAUAUGGUUCAUCUAUAUUUGAUAAAGUCAAAUAUUUUGACUGUCCCAUCAAAAAUAGAAGCACCAUCUCCUCAAAAACUAUCUGAAUUCAUAAAAAUAUUUGUCCUCCC
rnacentral:lncRNA from 1 species